GAUGAACGCUGGCGGCGUGCUUAACACAUGCAAGUCGAACGGGAUCCCAGGAGCUUGCUCCUGGGUGAGAGUGGCGAACGGGUGAGUAAUGCGUGACCGACCUGCCCCAUACACCGGAAUAGCUCCUGGAAACGGGUGGUAAUGCCGGAUGCUCCAGUUGACCGCAUGGUCCUCUGGGAAAGAUUCAUCGGUAUGGGAUGGGGUCGCGUCCUAUCAGCUUGAUGGCGGGGUAACGGCCCACCAUGGCUUCGACGGGUAGCCGGCCUGAGAGGGCGACCGGCCACAUUGGGACUGAGAUACGGCCCAGACUCCUACGGGAGGCAGCAGUGGGGAAUAUUGCACAAUGGGCGCAAGCCUGAUGCAGCGACGCCGCGUGCGGGAUGACGGCCUUCGGGUUGUAAACCGCUUUUGACUGGGAGCAAGCCCUUCGGGGUGAGUGUACCUUUCGAAUAAGCACCG
rnacentral:rRNA from 1 species